CUCCCAGAAUCGGGUCGAUUCGGGUCCGAAUGUCUCCUUCUUCACCUGACUCCCUCCCCAUGCCCGAAACCCUAGCGCUGCUCCUCUCCUCCAUGCAAUCCAAUGUCGCCCCUACAAAUCACUGAUCACGGGCUUUGCGAUAAUAUCUCUUAUCGAUAAUAUCUCGGUUGCCUUUGCCCGGGGCCAGGCUUCAGAGCAGGAGCAGACGACGAAGUAGCAGCUGUGGGAAAGGAAAAUAAGAAAAUCUCCCUGAUUAGACUGAGCAGCUCCUCCAAUGGCAAUGGCAGUGGUGGGGCCGCUGAGAGGCAAUCGCAGGAUCAUCUUCGAGCAACAAAAGCAGCGAAAACAAAUAAGAGUGCUUCUUCAUCACCAAAGCCGAGUCUUGAAAAUCGGUAAUCAGUUCCAACAUCGUCAGAAGUAGAAGAAAGACAUGAGCAGAUCAUCAGCUUCGACUGUGGCUGCGAGGGCGUGGAUUGUGGCGGCGAGCAUAGCUGCCGUGGAGGCCUUCAAGGACUAGGGCUUUUGUCACUAGAACUACACCCUUCGAUCCCUUCACCAACUCACCAAGUCCAAAAUCUCCGGUUCCUAUUCCCACGCCGCUACCAAGCUCUCUGCGUCCUCUGGGGCUGUGUCUGACGCAGUGAGGGCGCAUUGGAGGAUGAGACGGCCGAAGGAAUCUCACCUUAAGGUGAUGGAGCUCAGCUGCUGGGGCCCCGAGUCAACCCGGUUUUAGGCCUCUUCAGAUUCCAGAAUCCUUCGUUAUGUACUUUAGGCCGCUGAAUCGAAUCGGAGUAGGGAAAAUCUUACUAGUGAUGGAGAGAUUAUUGACAUUGUUGUAUUGAAUUUGUCGAUUAGUUAUAUAACUAUAUCUGAAGUCGACUUCCAUAAAAAA